GGGGUGAUGUAUUUUUGUAGGCCAGAACUCAGAAACAAGUUUGCAUUUUAGUAUUUCCGGUUCCAUUGUCUUGACUUGAAAUCUGUUU